GGAUGAACCCUUGGAGAGACUCAUAAUGAGCACCGAAGGAGAAAGCUGUAAAGGCGAAACUCUCAGGUAAAAGGACAGGGGACAGGUA
rfam:Clostridium estertheticum subsp. estertheticum strain DSM 8809, complete genome.